rnacentral:rRNA from 1 species
GGUGAACGCUGGCGGCGUGCUUAACACAUGCAAGUCGAACGAUGGAGCCCUGCGUGCUGGCUCUAAUAGGUGCGGACGGGUGAGUAACUCGUGAGUAACCUGGCCUUAACUUUUGCAUAAGCCUUGAAAACUGGGUCUAUUACCUGAUAGCAGCUACGACCGCAGGGUGGGUGUUGGAGAGCUUUAUCGGUUUUGGAUGGACUCGCGGCCUAUCAGCUUGUUGGUGUGGUAAUGGCUCACCACGGCCACGACGGGUAGCCGUCCUGAGAGUGUGACCGGCCACCAUGGGACUGAGAGACGGCCCAGACUGCUACGGGAGGCAGCAGGGGCGAAUAUUGACCAACGGGCGCAAGCCUGUUGAAGCGACGCCGCGUGAGGGAUGACGGCGUUAGGGGUGUAAACCUCAUCAAGUAGGGAAGCAGCGAAAGUGACGGUACCUGCAGAAGAAGCACCGGCUAACUACGUG